AUGAGAAUGGCAAAAUAUUUGAGAUACCUGACAAUGAUUGUGACAAAUAUCUAGGAAGCACAUCCAUAGCUUUUAAUCGUGAUUUCAAUGAAUAUGGGAAUCAAGAUUGUGACGAAGACUGCGAUGAGAACUAUGAACGCGACGACAUCCCUUUCAAUGAUAUUGCGGAUGAUGUCGACAUCAUGGAUGCAGAAGCUGAUGCAGACG